rnacentral:rRNA from 1 species
ACGGGAGGCAGCAGUCGGGAAUAUUGCACAAUGGAGGAAACUCUGAUGCAGUGACGCCGCGUACAGGAAGAAGGUCCUCUGGAUUGUAAACUGUUGUCGAGGGGGAAGAUACAAGACAGUACCCCUGGAGGAAGCUCCGGCAAACUACGUGCCAGCAGCCGCGGUAAUACGUAGGGAGCGAGCGUUAUCCGGAUUUAUUGGGUGUAAAGGGCGCGUAGACGGCCUAGCAAGUUAGUUGUGAAAUCCCAAGGCUUAACCUUGGAACUGCAACUAAAACUGUUAGGCUUGAGUAUGGGAGAGGAAAGCGGAAUUCCUAGUGUAGCGGUGAAAUGCUUAGAUAUUAGGAGGAACACCAGUGGCGAAGGCGGCUUUCUGGACCAAAACUGACGUUGAGGCGCGAAAGUGUGGGGAGCAAACAGGAUUAGAUACCCUGGUA